GGGGGGCGCGGACACGCGUGGUGUGCGCGGUCCCCGUGCAGCCCGCCCUGCCGCAGGCUGCCCUCCACCCCCAGCCCCAGCUCCAGCCCCCAGCCCGUCCCCACUGCUCAUAUCCGAGCAGAUAGACCCCGGCCCCACCCUCCCGUGCUGAGCCUCCUUUCUGCCGGGAAGUUCGUCCGGGAGUCAAACAUCGCUGCCCUCCGGUUGCGCCACGGAGGGGGAGCCAGGAUAGGAAGCUGCCGUGAAAUCAGGAAGCUGAGCGCGCCGGGCCCCGGAUCCGAACAGAAAAGGCUUCCACCCGCUCCCCUGAGGGAUCCCACGCUGAGGGACUGAACCCCGCACCCCAGCCGCGCUCACCACCCCCACCCUCUCGCCUGGGCUGCUCUGACCUGGGGUUCACUUUCUGAAGAUGAUUCUGAAGAAGAGGAGGAAUUGGAAGAGGAAUCCGAGCCUUCUGAAUGAAUUCCAGAACUGCCACUCAAAGUGCCCUAUGAGGAGCUGUGGUAACAAGGAAAUGUUCUCAUGACUCAAAAAUCAGUGGAAAAAGGUACAGGAUGAGAAGCCUUGUUUCCCAACCCUAUCAACAGGGCUGUGCUGUUUCCCUCUACCACGAAUGCUCUUCUUAAAUACGGCUCACUUCAUCUCCUUCUGAUACCUGCUUAAAUCUCAUCUUCUCAAAAUGGCCUUGUCUGACCAACUUAUUAAAAUAGUAUCCCAACUAC
rnacentral:lncRNA from 1 species